AUACAUGCAAGUCGAACGAACUCUGGUAUUGAUUGGUGCUUGCAUCAUGAUUUACAUUUGAGUGAGUGGCGAACUGGUGAGUAACACGUGGGAAACCUGCCCAGAAGCGGGGGAUAACACCUGGAAACAGAUGCUAAUACCGCAUAACAACUUGGACCGCAUGGUCCGAGUUUGAAAGAUGGCUUCGGCUAUCACUUUUGGAUGGUCCCGCGGCGUAUUAGCUAGAUGGUGGGGUAACGGCUCACCAUGGCAAUGAUACGUAGCCGACCUGAGAGGGUAAUCGGCCACAUUGGGACUGAGACACGGCCCAAACUCCUACGGGAGGCAGCAGUAGGGAAUCUUCCACAAUGGACGAAAGUCUGAUGGAGCAACGCCGCGUGAGUGAAGAAGGGUUUCGGCUCGUAAAACUCUGUUGUUAAAGAAGAACAUAUCUGAGAGUAACUGUUCAGGUAUUGACGGUAUUUAACCAGAAAGCCACGGCUAACUACGUGCCAGCAGCCGCGGUAAUACGUAGGUGGCAAGCGUUGUCCGGAUUUAUUGGGCGUAAAGCGAGCGCAGGCGGUUUUUUAAGUCUGAUGUGAAAGCCUUCGGCUCAACCGAAGAAGUGCAUCGGAAACUGGGAAACUUGAGUGCAGAAGAGGACAGUGGAACUCCAUGUGUAGCGGUGAAAUGCGUAGAUAUAUGGAAGAACACCAGUGGCGAAGGCGGCUGUCUGGUCUGUAACUGACGCUGAGGCUCGAAAGUAUGGGUAGCAAACAGGAUUAGAUACCCUGGUAGUCCAUACCGUAAACGAUGAAUGCUAAGUGUUGGAGGGUUUCCGCCCUUCAGUGCUGCAGCUAACGCAUUAAGCAUUCCGCCUGGGGAGUACGGCCGCAAGGCUGAAACUCAAAGGAAUUGACGGGGGCCCGCACAAGCGGUGGAGCAUGUGGUUUAAUUCGAAGCUACGCGAAGAACCUUACCAGGUCUUGACAUACUAUGCAAAUCUAAGAGAUUAGACGUUCCCUUCGGGGACAUGGAUACAGGUGGUGCAUGGUUGUCGUCAGCUCGUGUCGUGAGAUGUUGGGUUAAGUCCCGCAACGAGCGCAACCCUUAUUAUCAGUUGCCAGCAUUAAGUUGGGCACUCUGGUGAGACUGCCGGUGACAAACCGGAGGAAGGUGGGGAUGACGUCAAAUCAUCAUGCCCCUUAUGACCUGGGCUACACACGUGCUACAAUGGAUGGUACAACGAGUUGCGAACUCGCGAGAGUAAGCUAAUCUCUUAAAGCCAUUCUCAGUUCGGAUUGUAGGCUGCAACUCGCCUACAUGAAGUCGGAAUCGCUAGUAAUCGCGGAUCAGCAUGCCGCGGUGAAUACGUUCCCGGGCCUUGUACACACCGCCCGUCACACCAUGAGAGUUUGUAACACCCAAAGUCGGU
rnacentral:rRNA from 2 species